GUAGUCGUGGCCGAGUGGUUAAGGCGAUAGACUGCUAAUCUAUUGGGGUUUCCCCGCGAGAGUUCGAAUCUCUCCGACUACG
rnacentral:tRNA from 1 species